GAUGAACGCUGGCGACGUGCCUAAUACAUGCGAGUCGAGCGAACAGAUGAGGAGCUUGCUCCUCUGACGUUAGCGGCGGACGGGUGAGUAACACGUGGAUAACCUACCUAUAAGACUGGGAUAACUUCGGGUAACCGGAGCUAAUACCGGAUAAUAUAUUGAACCGCAUGGUUCAAUAGUGAAAGACGGUUUUGCUGUCACUUAUAGAUGGUUCCGCGCCGCAUUAGCUAGUUGGUAAGGUAACGGCUUACCAAGGCAACGAUGCGUAGCCGACCUGAGAGGGUGAUCGGCCACACUGGAACUGAGACACGGUCCAGACUCCUACGGGAGGCAGCAGUAGGGAAUCUUCCGCAAUGGGCGAAAGCCUGACGGAGCAACGCCGCGUGAGUGAUGAAGGUCUUCGGGUCGUAAAGCUCUGUUAUUAGGGAAGAACAAAUGUGUAAGUAACUAUGCACGUCUUGACGGUACCUAAUCAGAAAGCCACGGCUAACUACGUG
rnacentral:rRNA from 1 species